GGUCGGGAUAGAGUAGUUGGAUAUACUCGUCUAUAUUUAUAUGGUCGCUGGUUCGAUCCCGGCUUCGACCA